rnacentral:rRNA from 1 species
GAUGAACGCUGGCGGCGUGCCUAAUACAUGCAAGUCGAGCGAACAGACGAGGAGCUUGCUCCUCUGACGUUAGCGGCGGACGGGUGAGUAACACGUGGAUAACCUACCUAUAAGACUGGGAUAACUUCGGGAAACCGGAGCUAAUACCGGAUAAUAUAUUGAACCGCAUGGUUCAAUAGUGAAAGACGGUUUUGCUGUCACUUAUAGAUGGAUCCGCGCCGCAUUAGCUAGUUGGUAAGGUAACGGCUUACCAAGGCGACGAUGCGUAGCCGACCUGAGAGGGUGAUCGGCCACACUGGAACUGAGACACGGUCCAGACUCCUACGGGAGGCAGCAGUAGGGAAUCUUCCGCAAUGGGCGAAAGCCUGACGGAGCAACGCCGCGUGAGUGAUGAAGGUCUUCGGAUCGUAAAACUCUGUUAUUAGGGAAGAACAAAUGUGUAAGUAACUAUGCACGUCUGGACGGUACCUAAUCAGAAAACCACGGCUAACUACGU